AAAAAAAGCACUGUGAGAAAAGAGUUUUUCAUUAAUAUUUUGAACUGUGAAUACAAAAAGAAUGACAUACUGGAUACUUUAUUGUGUUAGCAGAAUCUGAAAAUCUAAAAAUAUGAGUUAGGCCCUAGAACUCUGAAAGUAAAACAGUACUGUAAAUACAGUCACUUAAUAUUUUUUUCUACAGUUCAUUUUUAUUUACAUUUGAAGAAAACUCAGGUGUACUUCUUCUCAGUAUUUGUUCAAAAACGUUAGGGGAGGAUCUGUUCAUAAGCUCCAUUUGAAGCCCUACACUCAUCAUGUAGUCAGUCAUGUGGCAUUAAAGCAUGAAUAUAAACUCUGCUGUGAGAUAUGUCAGAACAAAAGUAUUUACAAAUGUACAGAAGUAAAAACGAUGUAAAUACUUCUGUAUUUCUGUUUCAGCUAAAAAUCUUCCUGGAAUGUUCAGUGCCUGCAUGGCAGGUAGUCAGGAAGGCAGCAUGGCCCUGGGGUUUUCUGCUGGGAGCAAUGCCCUUUGUGCUACUUCCCAAGGCCUCCAUUUCGCAGCUGUAAACAGAGAUGGCACAGACCCUCUGUAUAUGUUUUGAACCUAACAUAAAGAACUAUGGGCUUUUGACUUGAAGGGUUUCAUAGUUAUCAAAAAAACACUGAAGCAUUUUAAAUCUCUCCAAUCUCUUUUGAGAAGUAUUUUCAGGAAAUCUAAACCCUAAAGCAACAAUGAAACAUAAUUCCAAUUUACAAAUACAUAGUUCUUCUCAAAAGUGGUCAAGUUCACCUAUAAGUUUAUACACAAAACAGAAAUCUGCAAUAGUGUUUUAUUGUACUAUUUCAGAGAUGACAAGAAAAACUAAAACAACUCUUCUUUUGGCUGGGAAACAAACAAGCCGCAGGUGUCUGAGGGGAGGGACAACAAGCAGUGUUUUAUUAGUGUGAAACAGCAGGUGCUCAGAGUUAAGCUGUACAGUUCUUUAUAUAACUGUUUGGUAGCAAAUCAACAAAUGUGUUUUUAUCUUCAGGUGAUAAAAGAUCAAGCCUGGGUCACUUUUAUCACUCUUCUCAAAACAUGAGGGUAAUAGCAAGAGGGCAGGCCUGGCUCUUGGGUCCUAGCUAUGGCUGCUGCCCCUUAGUUUGGUGCUGGGGCCAGCCCUGGCCUGUGUUGUGCCUCUCCUUGCUCCAGGCCUGGUCUCUCCUGGGCUCUUCAGAGCUGUGGCUUGUAUCUGAAAUGCUUCUUCACUGAUUUCUCUGUGACUGAGCAAGUAUCAUGUUCCUGCUUUGGAUGUUAGCAGUGUCACUGUUCUAAGGAGAAAACUUCUCUGUUUCUCAUCAGAGUACAUCAAAUGCAGCACUCCUUCUGGUAUUGAUUUGAAGUCUUUUCAACAUUGAUUGAACUUAGUUCACAGAACUUGACAGGACUUCAGUUCAAGACACAGGAUAAACCCAAAUGUUUGGGAUACUUGAGACAGCUAUGUUGAUAUUUGCAGGUGAUGUCUUCUACCACUGUGAUUUGACUCUCAAGUCGUUUGGCAGCAACAAGAAAGAAGUGUGUGAAAUUAUUAAUAAGAUAUUGAAUGAAGAAGCAUCUGUUUGUCCAGAUGUUUUACAUGUUACCCUUCCGCUACAUAAAACAAUCAAUGAUUUUA